UCCUGGCUANGNAUGAACCGCUGGCGGGNGUCCNUANCACAUGUAAUCGAGNGAUUUAUUNGUGUAAAGAGCGGCGGACGGGUGAGUAACGCGUGGGUAACCUGCCUCAUACACAUGGAUAACACACCGAAAGGUAUGCUAAGACAGGAUAAUAUAAGAGAUUCACAUGGAUUUCUUAUCAAAGCUCCGGCGGUAUGAGAUGGACCCGCGUCUGAUUAGCUAGUUGGUAAGGUAAUGGCUUACCAAGGCGACGAUCAGUAGCCGACCUGAGAGGGUGAUCGGCCACAUUGGAACUGAGACACGGUCCAAACUCCUACGGGAGGCAGCAGUGGGGAAUAUUGCACAAUGGGCGAAAGCCUGAUGCAGCAACGCCGCGUGAGUGAUGAAGGCCUUCGGGUCGUAAACUCUNUCNCA
rnacentral:rRNA from 1 species